rnacentral:rRNA from 1 species
CAUUACUGAAAAAUAGGGUUUUGAGACUGCGUCCUUAAACCGGCGUGUGCUCGACUCUUACUCUUUCAUCCACACACACCUUUGUGCACCAUGGGGGGACGAAGAAAAAAAAAGUCCCCCCCUUUUUACAUUUAAAACACCAGUUAUAUGCAUGUCUUAAGAUGCUCUACGGAGUCAUAUUAUAUAUGUACAACUUUCAACAACGGAUCUCUUGGCUUUCGCAUCGAUGAAGAACGCAGCGAACGUGCGAAACGUAAUGUGAAUUGCAGAAUUCAGUGAAUCAUCGAAUCUUUGAACGCAUCUUGCGCUCCUUGGUAUUCCGAGGAGCAUGCCUGUUUGAGUGUCUUGAAUACCUCUCAAUUUCAAUCUUUUUUUUUGGGUUUGGAAUUGGACUUGGGCAUUGUUGUGUGAUCACAACUUGUCCUAAAUGCAUUAGCGAUCUGUCUUUGAUCACAAUACAAUGUGAUAAGAAAAGCAUUGUGAGGAUCAAAAGGGGGGAUGGCUUCUAAUUGUCAAUAGACAACUCCAUGUCAUUUGACCUCAAAUCAGGUAGGACUACCCGCUGAACUUAAGCAUAUCAAUA